GACAGAGGCCUCAAGCGUUAGGCGGAAUCACUGGGCUUAAAGCGUGUGUAGGCGGAUCGUUAAGUGUCUUGUGAAAUCCCACGGCUCACCCGUGGAACUGCUGGGCAUACUGGCGAUCUUGGGCCAACUAGGGGCAACUGGAACAAGCGGUGGAGCGGUGAAAUGCGUAGAUAUCGCUUGGAACGCCAAAGGUGAAAACAGGUUGCUGGGGUUGUGCCGACGCGUGA
rnacentral:rRNA from 1 species